rnacentral:rRNA from 1 species
AGGACGAACGCUGGCGGCGUGCUUAACACAUGCAAGUGGAGCGACGAACCAGGGCUUGCCCUGGGGCAGAGCCGCGAACGGGUGAGUAACACGUGGGUUACCUGCCUUGAUGACCGGGACAACCCGAGGAAACUCGGGCUAAUACCGGAUGUGCCCGCAAGGGGAAAGGAAGCUUCGGCCUCCGCAUCAAGAUGGGCCCGCGGCCCAUUAGCUUGUUGGUGAGGUAACGGCUCACCAAGGCUUCGAUGGGUAGCUGGUCUGAGAGGACGAUCAGCCACACUGGGACUGAGACACGGCCCAGACUCCUACGGGAGGCAGCAGUGGGGAAUCUUGCGCAAUGCGCGAAAGCGUGACGCAGCAACGCCGCGUGGGGGAAGAAGGCUUUCGGGUUGUAAACCCCUUUCAGUUGGGACGAAGCUUCGCCGGUGAAUAGCCGGCUGGAGUGACGGUACCUUCACAAGAAGCACCGGCUAACUACGUGCCAGCAGCCGCGGU